rnacentral:lncRNA from 10 species
UUGUGGAGCAGCUGGUGCAGCCUUGCUUUCCGAGGGCGGCGUGCAGCCACAGUGCCCGCUGCGGGUGCUGGGGAAUGGCGCCUUACAGGCUGCCCACCUGCCUCCUCAGGGUGGAAGGCGGGGCUUGGGUGUGAGCGUGCUGAAUCAGAACUUUCCUGGAAAGUCGCCACUUGGUGUGGUCAGAGGAUCACUGAAGUAACAACUGCACAGAGCCUGUGCUUAAGAUGGCAGGAUCGCAAGACAGAGCAACUGGAGCAAGUCCUCAUUAAGAAGAGCCGCCCGAUGCAUUUGGACUGCGAUGUGUUACGCCCAUGAGAUUUCAGGGUUAAUUUGUUACCUGGCCGUGGCCUAUCCUCUUCCAGCAGAUACAGAGGCUACUGCAGUUUGCAACUUUGCAGAUACCAGCAGAGGAAGAAAAACCUGGGAGACUGCUGCUAACCUAAUGUGGAGACUUGACUUAAACUUCAGCCAGACAAAGGCGGAAUCUUAAUAUGGAGGGGCCUGGCUCUGCAGGGAGGUCACCUGGGCUGGCUGGAUUUCAAUCCAGUUACACAGCAAAAAAGUUACAACCCAAGCUUUGGCGAUGCUGAGCCUUCUACUCUCAGGGAUUCCAAAGCAUUUGAUAAACUCUUUCUUUGUUCCAUUGUUUACUGACUUCCUAGUGCUUGUCUUGUUCUGCAGUUAUUUAUUUAUUUUUAUUUAUUAGUUUUUACUUAUGAUCUACCCCUCUCUCCCAUCUCCCCGCAACCUGAAGAUAAGUGACUGGAGCAGAAUCCACUUCUGCUGAGAAGCUCUGGAUGACCACGGAUAAGCAGGAAGGCAUGUGACAUAUUGGCAAGUGAGUCAGACAGAAAGAGAGACGUGGGAUCGAGUCCUGGCAUUGCCCUUUCUAGCUAUUGUGUCCUUGGACAGGCGCCACUCAAUGGAGUUUAAGCCAUUCUCCAUAGGCAGGGAGAUGUUGCAGCGUCCAAUG